UACGUAGAUGGCAAGCGUUGUCCGGAUUUAUUGGGUUUAAAGGGUGCGUAGGUGGUCUAUUAAGUCAGUGCUGAAAUAUCCCGGCUUAACCGGGAGGGUGGCAUUGAUACUGAUGGACUUGAGUGGAGUUGAGGUAUGCGGAAUUGACGGUGUAGCGGUGAAAUGCUUAGAUAUCGUCAAGAACACCGAUAGUGAAGACAGCAUACUAAGCUUUAACUGACACUGAUGCACGAAAGUGUAGGGAUCAAACAGG
rnacentral:rRNA from 1 species